GAAAUGCGAUACGUAAUGUGAAUUGCAGAAUUCCGUGAAUCAUCGAAUCUUUGAACGCACAUUGCACUCCAUUUCGAUGGAGUAUGCCUGUUUGAGAAUCUAUAGUAUUUAUUUACCUUUAUUCUUUGGGAUAAAAGUUAAAAAUUUGCAGGUUAACCCCUGCGAACUUGCUAGCUGAACUACGCUUUAGAGUGUUUGACUCGUUGCUAAGCAUCAGAAAAGUAUUUGAAUGAGGUAACCCUCUUAUAAUGCCGAUUAAGAUGCAGUAUCGAUUAGCUCUAAACUAUUUUACAGUCUCAUAUAAAAAGUCUAAUAAACUUUGAACCAUGGUCUCAAAUCAGGUAGGAAUACCCGCUGAACUUAA
rnacentral:misc_RNA from 1 species